GGGCCCCAGCUAGGGGGGCGCUCGAGGGGAACCGAGUGAAGUGAGGGCUCCGCCAGAGCAGCACCCCUUUCCCCGCCGUCCCUCCCGGACUAGCCAGUUCUUGUCAGAGAUUCCUUUGUCUUCGGCGCUGGUCCCUCCACACCAAGAUGAAGAAAUUGAGAAACAGAGAGUAUGAUGAUUUGCUUAAGACCAGAUGACGAUUAUCUGCAGAAUGAAGACAAUCCUGACCUCCAUCAGUGGAUCCCUUCGCCACCUCCACAGUCUCCCCAUUGGAUGGACACAGACACAUGACAGAUGCACACAUAUGUGCAAAACACUUAUAAAGAACACACUCCUCCACCUCCACCUCACUACCACGCAAUCCCAAGACAGCAUUGCUCUUCUCUGGACCCAGCCACUCAGUCAACACCUAUUUACAAACAUUGUGCUAGGCACUGGCAAUAAAAUAAUGAACACCAGAAGACACAGUUCCUGAGUCUCACAGGGAUGACCCAGGAUCAUUCAGAGUCUAGGAUGAGGCAGGGAUUAGGUGGGGAUGAGGAUGAUAAGAGCAGCGUUGGGGAAGUACAGGAUAAGAUGAGAACACACACCAAGAGCACCUAACUCUUUCUCUGGAGGACCAG
rnacentral:antisense_RNA from 1 species